UGAAACUCGCCUCGAGAUGAGAUUUCCCAUUUCCUUCGGGAAAGUAAGACCCCUCAUAGAUGAUGAGGUAGAUAGGAUGGAAGUGGAAGUGCCGUGAGGCAUGGAGCGGACCAUUACUAAUCGGUCGAGGACUUAACCAAG
rnacentral:rRNA from 1 species